rnacentral:tRNA from 1 species
GGUUGUGGCUCAGUGGUAGAGCGCUUGCCUAGCACAUGAGGAACUGGGUUCAAUCCUCAGCACCA